UACAGAGGGUGCGAGCGUUACUCGGAAUUACUGGGCGUAAAGCGUGCGUAGACGGUUACGUAAGUCGGGUGUGAAAGCCCCGGGCUCAACCUGGGAAUUGCAUUCGAGACUGCGAAGCUAGGGUGCGGAAGAGGGAAGCGGAAUUUCCGGUGUAGCGGUGAAAUGCGUAGAUAUCGGAAGGAACAUCAGUGGCGAAAGCGGCUUCCUGGUCCAGCACCGACGUUCAGGCACGAAAGCGUGGGGAGCAAACAGG
rnacentral:rRNA from 1 species